AGAGCAUCUGUGAUGUGCUUCCUCUGUAUUCAUCCUUGCACUUUGAGCUAAGGUCUACCAGUGAAGAAAGCAUUGGGGAUAAUAUAUUCUGAGAUGCUC
rnacentral:snoRNA from 1 species